rnacentral:rRNA from 1 species
GUCGAACGGUAACAGGAAGCAGCUUGCUGCUUUGCUGACGAGUGGCGGACGGGUGAGUAAUGUCUGGGAAACUGCCUGAUGGAGGGGGAUAACUACUGGAAACGGUAGCUAAUACCGCAUAACGUCGCAAGACCAAAGAGGGGGACCUUCGGGCCUCUUGCCAUCGGAUGUGCCCAGAUGGGAUUAGCUAGUAGGUGGGGUAAAGGCUCACCUAGGCGACGAUCCCUAGCUGGUCUGAGAGGAUGACCAGCCACACUGGAACUGAGACACGGUCCAGACUCCUACGGGAGGCAGCAGUGGGGAAUAUUGCACAAUGGGCGCAAGCCUGAUGCAGCCAUGCCGCGUGUAUGAAGAAGGCCUUCGGGUUGUAAAGUACUUUCAGCGGGGAGGAAGGGAGUAAAGUUAAUACCUUUGCUCAUAGACGUUACCCGCAGAAGAAGCACCGGCUAACUCCGUGCCAGCAGCCGCGGUAAUACGGAGGGUGCAAGCGUUAAUCGGAAUUACUGGGCGUAAAGCGCACGCAGGCGGUUUGUUAAGUCAGAUGUGAAAUCCCCGGGCUCAACCUGGGAGCUGCAUCUGAUACUGGCAAGCUUGAGUCUCGUAGAGGGGGGUAGAAUUCCAGGUGUAGCGGUGAAAUGCGUAGAGAUCUGGAGGAAUACCGGUGGCGAAGGCGGCCCCCUGGACGA